rnacentral:sRNA from 1 species
UCCAGGGGUUCUAUGUUUCAGGAAGAUGUCGAUCGUUGCAGUAAGGGUUCUGUCCACUGUCAACGCCGCUUAUGGGACAACCCUUUCGGCUGAGCAGCUGGCGUCGAAGAUUUCCGAUCCUGCCAGCGCAGUCUCUUUCGA